ACGCUGGCGGCAUGCCUAAUACAUGCAAAUCGAACGAAGCCUUUUAGGCUUAGUGGUGAACGGGUGAGUAACACGUAUCCAAUCUACCCUUAAGUUGGGGAUAACUAGUCGAAAGAUUAGCUAAUACCGAAUAAUAACAUCAAUAUCGCAUGAGAAGAUGUAAAAAGUCGCUCUUUGUGGCGACGCUUUUGGAUGAGGGUGCGACGUAUCAGAUAGUUGGUGAGGUAAUGGCUCACCAAGUCAAUGACGCGUAGCUGUACUGAGAGGUAGAACAGCCACAAUGGGACUGAGACACGGCCCAUACUCCUACGGGAGGCAGCAGUAGGGAAUUUUUCACAAUGGGCGCAAGCCUUAUGAAGCAAUGCCGCGUGAACGAUGAAGGUCUUAUAGAUUGUAAAGUUCUUUUAUAUGGGAAGAAACGCUAAAAUAGGAAAUGAUUUUAGUUUGACUGUACCAUUUGAAUAAGUAUCGGCUAACUAUGUGCCAGCAGCCGCGGUAAUACAUAGGAUGCAAGCGUUAUCCGGAUUUACUGGGCGUAAAACGAGCGCAGGCGGGUUUGUAAGUUUGGUAUUAAAUCUAGAUGCUUAACGUCUAGCUGUAUCAAAAACUGUAAACCUAGAGUGUAGUAGGGAGUUGGGGAACUCCAUGUGGAGCGGUAAAAUGCGUAGAUAUAUGGAAGAACACCGGUGGCGAAGGCGCCAACUUGGACUAUCACUGACGCUUAGGCUCGAAAGUGUG
rnacentral:rRNA from 1 species